rnacentral:rRNA from 1 species
CAAGUCGAACGGCAGCACGGGGGGCAACCCCUGGUGGCGAGUGGCGAACGGGUGAGUAAUAUAUCGGAACGUACCCUGUAGCGGGGGAUAACCUCUCGAAAGAGAGGCUAAUACCGCAUACGACCUACGGGUGAAAGCGGAGGACCGCAAGGCUUCGCACUAUAGGAGCGGCCGAUACCGGAUUAGCUAGUUGGCGGGGUAACAGCCCACCAAGGCUACGAUCCGUAGCUGGUCUGAGAGGACGAUCAGCCACACUGGAACUGACACACGGUCCAGACUCCUACGGGAGGCAGCAGUGGGGAAUUUUGGACAAUGGGCGCAAGCCUGAUCCAGCCAUGCCGCGUGAGUGAAGAAGGCCUUCGGGUUGUAAAGCUCUUUCGGCGGGGACGAAACGGUUCGUGCUAACACCACGGACUAAUGACGGUACCCGAAGAAGAAGCACCGGCUAACUACGUGCCAGCAGCCGCGGUAAUACGUAGGGUGCAGGCGUUAAUCGGAAUUACUGGGCGUAAAGCGUGCGCAGGCGGUUUGUUAAGACAGGUGUGAAAUCCCCGGGCUUAACCUGGGAACUGCGCUUGUUACUGGCAGACUUGAGUGUGGCAGAGGGGGGUGGAAUUCCAGGUGUAGCAGUGAAAUGCGUAGAGAUCUGGAGGAACACCGAUGGCGAAGGCAGCCCCCUGGGUUAACACUGACGCUCAUGCACGAAAGCGUGGGGAGCAAACAGGAUUAGAUACCCUGGUAGUCCACGCCCUAAACUAUGUCAACUGGUUGUCGGGGAAGCAAUUCCUUGGUAACGAAGCUAACGCGUGAAGUUGACCCCCUGGGGAGUACGGCCCCAAG